CGUGGCCAGCGUUUCAAUUCUGGGCCUUUGGCAAAAUGUGUCUGGUCGGGUUCUUUGGGGCUUCAUUAAAUAGAAGUGUGCUGGUCUCUUCCUGGGAAGAUGCAGCUGUAGGGAGAAAAUUUCAGUAAAAUUAAAGUUAAGAGCCAGACAUAAUGGUCCAGUGCUUGGAGGGAGGAGGAAGGAGGAUCAGGGGUUCAAGGGUCUUGCCACGUGAUCAAACUCUUGAUUUUCCUUUCUCAGCCUCCCAAGUGGUGGAAUGACAUGCAUGGGAUCCUCAUCCUCAGAGUGUGUUCUCCUGAUAGCUGUACAGUUUGGGCUU